rnacentral:rRNA from 1 species
UACGGGGGGGGCAAGCGUUGUUCGGAAUUACUGGGCGUAAAGGGCUCGUAGGUGGCCAACUAAGUCGGACGUGAAAUCCCUCGGCUUAACCGGGGAACUGCGUCCGAUACUGGUUGGCUUGAGUUUGGGAGAGGGAUGCGGAAUUCCAGGUGUAGCGGUGAAAUGCGUAGAGAUCGGGAGGAACACCAGCGGCGAAGGCGGCGACCUGGACAGGUACUGACACUCAACUACGAAAGCGUGGGGAGCAAACAGG